rnacentral:rRNA from 1 species
GAACGCUCUUGGGGAUUUCGGUCCGCAAGGGAGUGGCGCACGGGUGAGUAGCGCGUGGGAACCUGCCCUCUUGUGGGGGAUAACCGAGGGAAACUUCGGCUAAUACCGCAUGCGCCCCCGGGGAGACCUGGGGGAAAGAUUUAUCGCAGGAGGAGGGGCCCGCGUCGGAUUAGGUAGUUGGUGGGGUAACGGCCUACCAAGCCGAUGAUCCGUAGCUGGUCUGACAGGAUGAUCAGCCACACUGGGACUGAGACACGGCCCAGACUCCUACGGGAGGCAGCAGUGGGGAAUAUUGGACAAUGGGCGCAAGCCUGAUCCAGCAAUGCCGCGUGAGUGAUGAAGGCCUUCGGGUUGUAAAGCUCUUUCGCCCGCGACGAUGAUGACGGUAGCGGGAGAAGAAGCCCCGGCUAACUUCGUG